rnacentral:rRNA from 1 species
UGGGGAAUAUUGCACAAUGGGGGAAAUCCUGAUGCAGCGACGCCGCGUGAACGAAGAAGGUAUUCGUAUCGUAAAGUUCUGUCCUAUGGGAAGAUAAUGACAGUACCAUAGAAGAAAGCUCCGGCUAAAUACGUGCCAGCAGCCGCGGUAAUACGUAUGGAGCGAGCGUUGUCCGGAAUUAUUGGGCGUAAAGGGUACGCAGGCGGUUUAAUAAGUCGAAUGUUAAAGAUCGGGGCUCAACCCCGUAAAGCAUUGGAAACUGAUAAACUUGAGUAGUGGAGAGGAAAGUGGAAUUCCUAGUGUAGUGGUGAAAUACGUAGAUAUUAGGAGGAAUACCAGUAGCGAAGGCGACUUUCUGGACACAAACUGACGCUGAGGUACGAAAGCGUGGGGAGCAAACAGG